rnacentral:rRNA from 1 species
CAUGCAAGUCGAACGAAGCGCUUAAAUGGAUUUCUUCGGAUUGAAGUUUUUGUGACUGAGUGGCGGACGGGUGAGUAACGCGUGGGUAACCUGCCUCAUACAGGGGGAUAACAGUUAGAAAUGACUGCUAAUACCGCAUAAGCGCAUAGUGCUGCAUGGCACAGUGUGAAAAACUCCGGUGGUAUGAGAUGGACCCGCGUCUGAUUAGCUGGUUGGUGGGGUAACGGCCUACCAAGGCGACGAUCAGUAGCCGGCCUGAGAGGGUGAACGGCCACAUUGGGACUGAGACACGGCCCAAACUCCUACGGGAGGCAGCAGUGGGGAAUAUUGCACAAUGGGGGAAACCCUGAUGCAGCGACGCCGCGUGAGCGAAGAAGUAUUUCGGUAUGUAAAGCUCUAUCAGCAGGGAAGAAAAUGACGGUACCUGACUAAGAAGCACCGGCUAAAUACGUGCCAGCAGCCGCGGUAAUACGUAUGGUGCAAGCGUUAUCCGGAUUUACUGGGUGUAAAGGGAGCGUAGACGGUUGUGUAAGUCUGAUGUGAAAGCCCGGGGCUCAACCCCGGGACUGCAUUGGAAACUAUGUAACUAGAGUGUCGGAGAGGUAAGCGGAAUUCCUAGUGUAGCGGUGAAAUGCGUAGAUAUUAGGAGGAACACCAGUGGCGAAGGCGGCUUACUGGACGAUCACUGACGUUGAGGCUCGAAAGCGUGGGGAGCAAACAGGAUUAGAUACCCUGGUAGUCCACGCCGUAAACGAUGACUACUAGGUGUCGGGGAGCAAAGCUCUUCGGUGCCGCAGCAAACGCAAUAAGUAGUCCACCUGGGGAGUACGUU